AUAAUAAUUAAAGGUCGACUGAACAUGAAUUAUAUUAUACAAUUUAAAGCGCAUUUCUGUUUAUGCACGUGAACCCGUCUAACGUUAUUUUCGCAGUUAUAUAAAGUAGCAAAUUAUCGUUCCUGAAUAGGUGGCGCCGUGGUAGCGGAUCCUGUUCCUCUACUUCCGGUUUCUGCACUGUGCAACUAUUUCAGUUAUAUUUUUAAUUAACGAUGAUAAGUACUUGUUGUUGUGUACCUGGAUGUCAUUUAAGAGGAGGACAUGCAUUUCCAAAUGACUUAAAAAGAAGGAAAAGUUGGAUCAACGCCAUGGCCCAUACGCAGAUUGGACGAGAACACAAUGAUAUCGUUGAGUCCAUCUCAAUCAGCUGUUGUUUGCAAGGCACGUUUUACUGAAAAAACUACGUGCAGGAAACUAUUCAUGGGCGCAAACCCACCAUACAGAGACUUAAGUCUACUGCAAUUCCCAGCCUAUUUUCCUGGACCAAGCAAGAGACUGAAUCGUCCGCAAAAAGAAAAAUCAGGGCAGUUUCCUGUGAAAACAAAAGAAAUAAACUUGAUGAAUAUUGUAGUAGAAAUCUAGAGGAAAGUUUUGAUUGUAAAGUUGGUUUUCCUGAAGAAGUCAUUCAUACUGCAGAAAGGAUUUAUGACUGUCCACCACCAACUGCCGAGCUAAUGUUGAGCUUCACAGAUGGAAUUACGCAAACACCAUCAAUGCCUAUGUUUUCAGCAGAGAAUUUUGAAAUGAAGAUACAUGACACAGCCAUGCAUUUUUAUACCGGUUUAGAGUUGUAUACUAAAUUUUUAUUUGUUUUGACCACACUUGGUCCAGCAGCACAUUGUUUGAGAUACAUAUAUUUUCAAAUUGAUAGGGUGUCAGUUGAAAAUCAGUUUUUUUAUGACUUUGAUGAAAUUGAGGCAUCAUACAACCAACUUUGAACUGUCUAGAUUCUAGAUUGAAUCUAGUGUUAAGAAUAUUGUGUAUACAUGGAUUGUUUUUAUGUCUAAACAGUGGUGUGAGGCUAACACUUGGCCAUCUAGUGGUUUAGUCAGGUAUUUUUCACCAUCCAACUUCAAAUUAAAGUUUCCUACGACUUGGAUUAUUAUUGACAGCACAGAAUAUCCUGUGAUAAAACCUAAAGCUCCUAGAGCUCAGGCAACCUUUUCAUCAAAUAAAAACAGAAACACUGAAAAUUCUUGAAUGUUCGACACCUGGUGGUUUAGUCAACUAUGUCUCUAUGUCACAUAGAGCGAAUUAUUGGACUUGGCAAAACAUACAAAAUUCUAAUAAAUCCUAUGAAUGGAACUGAAUCAAACUUUCAUCUGAAAUAACAUUUAGUUGUUUUAUGUUGUGUAAUUUUAGAACUUGUAUUGUGCCAAAGGAUGCAUAAAUAAAAGUGACGCAAUGAA